UUCCCAACUGCCAGGGCCUCAAGAAUGGGGUGGGGCUGAGGGAGCUGAGGAUGAAGACUGAGGAUGAGGUGUGCUAACAGGGGGUAGGCUGGCCCAGUUAUCUGGGAGCCAUGUCUGAAUCAGACGGUCCUAUUUUCAGCUCUUCCUAUGGGGAGCAGAGAAGGCACAAGGUAAGAGGGAAGCAUCAGUGAGAGGCACUGAUAGGCUCACCUACCAGAACCGGAAGGGAUCUGAAUCAGUCUUACUCUGCCUCCCAGUCUCUUCAGCCUGGGCCCUGGAUUGGAGUUGGACAAGCAAUAUUCUAACUCCCUUCAAUCCCAGAAACUCCCAGUUUGUCUGCCUCCUACGAGAAGGUCCUGUGCAAGACUGAGUAAAGGAUCCUACUUCUGACAAAGGCUAAGAACACAAUCUAGUUCAAGCUGCUUGUAUUUCUUUAUGAACAAACACAGUCCCACAAAGCUGAACUAGCACUUCCCAGAACGGCUGCUUCCAAGUCCUCUGCCGCCAGCAAUGGUGACCAGAGAGAGCAGUAAUAAGGAGUUCUACAGAGCAGAGGAACUGAGCAGAGGAUGUGUCCCUCCAUCUCUCCACGCCAUUUCUGUAAUAGACAAUGACCUUUUCUUCUUGGGCAUGGGUAGCUGUAAAGAUGGUGGCCUGGAACCAGGUGCGGAGCAUGGAAUUUUUCCACUGGAGACCCCAAGGCUGGUGGUCAACAGGUGAAGAUCAACGGCUAUAAGGCAUCCCCUGUCGUAGGCCUGCAGGUGUUUCCAGCUACCUAGGACCUCAGCUGUGCUUCUCAGAGGGAACAUCAGCAAACAGCCUCUGCCCAGGAUCAAAGCUUCCUCACAGCAUGGCACAUUGAGGUGUUUGGAGUCUUUGGAUGAAAACUCAAGGAUCCAUACAAGAAUCUUCAGAGAACCAGAUGAGUGGCCUACUACCUUGAUGUGUAGGAUUCCUCCUUGAAAGUUACCUUUAUCUUCUUGCCAAUCCCCGAGCCUGUCCGGAUCAAGAGAGAGAAUGCAAACUUCACUUUUAUUUUAAAGCA